GCUCUCGUGAUAUUAUAUGGGUAGUUCCGAAGCAUAGACGCCAUCAGCGGGGUCUCGAGAGACGGCAAGGCGACUGAUAUCGGCAAGAACUCAGCAGACAGGAUCUGGAUGCCAGGCACAUUUACAUUUACGUGGAAUAAACCUGUCACAAACUCGAAGCUGGACUCCAGGGGGUGGACAGCAGGUGACUUGACACUGAUAGGCUGUGGUUUACUACCCCUGGAGGGUUGUGACUGCUCUCUGGACGCUCAUGAUGUUAGCCAUUGACGCUGGAACUGAGCCACGUCCCCAGAUGCAUAUAACAUUAACGUACAAGCACUGUUUUACUCUGUCAGCAGUCUUAACAUGGAGACUGCUCCGGGCCAGUGGCGUGUCGCCAUCUUCACGAAGGACUUCGUCUCAUCAAGAAGCGGAGAGAGGCCUCAGAAGCAGACAGAAUCUUUCAAUUCACUUUCAUGCGCCUUCAUUCGCUUCAACGCAGAAGAUAAAUAAGAAAAAGCCAUUUGUGCCGACAGCAGGAUAACAAUUUUCUGCCGACAUGGUUUUCUUUGUCUCAUAUGCCGUUCAUAGUUUCCACAACUGGGCCCAUGCAUCAAAGUCUGCUGUAGCUUCCGGAAGGCAAAGCUUCCAAGCACCGGAACUCCGGCUCCGUGGAGGUUGAUGGGUGAAAUUGACUUGACCCAACCAACCCUUCGCUCAACUUUCAACCGCCCCUGGGUUACAGACUACAAACACAAAUUAGAUCCCAUACAUCGACGUGCAAGCUGAAAUCUCCUCGACGUACGCGACAGGCGAGUGACGUCAUUAUCAUCUGAGUGCUUCGUCAAACAUUCCCUGGCCAUACAACGUACCUGACUUGUAUUGAGACGUGCCCGGUUCAAUUUCAGAUCUGUUACAGAAUUAUUUAUCGUGGUUUUCCUCAGCAGAAAGCAAGUACAGUCCCUGUAAAGAGACAAGAGCCAUCGUCUUCUACAUUAUUAUAUUCUUACAGUUCAUCAUCAUCUUAUCAUCUGCUGCCGUCUCAAAACAUAUUUCUUUUUGAAAAUUUUAAUAGUUUUUACUACCAAGCUAGUUCGUUGAGAGUUUUACUUGGGGUUACUUGUUGCAGAUAAAUUGUGUCCUUAUUUUGAAGGCAGUGAAACUUAUGACAGAUAGUAGAUACUUUAACGGUUGUGAAAUGUCAGUGUAAGACAGCGAAAAUAGCGUAAUUAUAGGCCCGCAGGCUUACGUAAUGAUACUUCUGUCAUUUAAUUUGAAAUGUAUAAAC